UACGGGGGGGGCAAGCGUUUGUUCGGAAUUACUGGGCGUAAAGGGCGCGUAGGCGGCCUGCUAAGUCACACGUGAAAUCCCUCGGCUCAACCGGGGAACUGCGUGUGAUACUGGCGGGCUUUGAAUUCGGGAGAGGGAUGUGGAAUUCCAGGUGUAGCGGUGAAAUGCGUAGAUAUCUGGAGGAACACCGGUGGCGAAGGCGGCAUCGUCGGAGACC
rnacentral:rRNA from 1 species